rnacentral:rRNA from 1 species
GAUGAACGCUGGCGGUAUGCUUAACACAUGCAAGUCGAACGGUACCUUCGGGUAUAGUGGCGGACGGGUGAGUAACGCGUGAGAAUCUGUCUUCAGGUCGGGGACAACAGUUAGAAAUGACUGCUAAUACCGGAUGUGCCGAAAGGUAAAAGAUUUAUUGCCUGAAGUUGAGCUCGCGUCAGAUUAGCUAGUAGGUGGUGUAAGAGACUACCUAGGCGACGAUCUGUAGCUGGUCUGAGAGGACGAUCAGCCACACUGGAACUGAGACACGGUCCAGACUCCUACGGGAGGCAGCAGUGGGGAAUUUUUACCGCAAUGGGGCGAAAGCCUGACGGAGCAAUCUCGCGUGAGGGAUGACGGCCUAUGGGGUUUGUAAACCCUCUUUUUUUACAGGGAGGAAUAAAUGACGCGUACCUGAAGAAUAAGCAUCGGCUAACUCCGUGCCAGCAGCCGCGGUAAU